CUCCAGCAGGUGUUUUCUCAUCCAUCCUCACUUCUGUCUCCAGGCGACGCUCCAGCUCCUUCUCAUAGCCUCCCUCUCCAUCUAGGUCCUCAUCUAACACCCUGGUCCCAAUAAACACCCCAAAACAAGAAAAGUUGUUUGAGAUCAAUAAGUUACAAAUGUCUUGCUGAUCCUGACACCUGCUGGUAAUUGCAGAACAGAAUGUCCAUGAGGUGGCACCAGACCUGAUCCAGCCCCACCUACCAGGGCAGCGCCGGGCCAAGUUGAGCCAAAAGUCCAUGAGGUGGAGCUGUGGGUGUACUGCAUGUUGUGUGGGCUUGGGGAGAGGAGUUGGAUCAGAUCCAGCUCUACCCUCUUGACCAGCAAGGACUCUUUUAAUUAUUGUAACAAUGUGAGUGCAUUAACAGAACUACAGAGUU